rnacentral:sRNA from 1 species
AUAAGGCCCGCACUACAGCUCUCCACUGGUGAUCUAUUAGUGGCCUACGCUUUUGUGUCUCCCCAUGUCAUCUCAGUUUCUUUUUGUCAAGAGUUCAGUGUUCUCCGCCAAGAUUGCUUGGGUCUCCCUCUUUACCUUGUGCCUUGUGAAUUCCAGUCAAGAGCCUGUCUUGCAAUGUUGGGCUGAGGUAUCCUUAAGGUGUGGCCAAUCCAUCUCCACAUCUUCUGUAUAAUGGAGACUGUGAUUGGCUGCUGUUUAGUCCUCGCCCAUAAGUCUUGAUUUAAGAUCAUCCAUACAGAAGGACUGUUUUGACGUUUGACUUGUUGACUUCUGUCUUGAUACGCUCUAAUAUCACUCGUGUCAGUACUUUGCUGGGUAAAGACAACAAUUGGAUUCCUCUCCAGUUUUGACAGUCACUCAGGUUUCCGUACUUUGGUAGUUUGGGUAUGUAUCCUAAUCUCCACUCCUCAGGAACUUCUUCUGAAUCCCAAAUGUGUUGGAUGAGGCCGAGUAAUAUGUCUGCUGUAGUGUCUGUAGAUGGUUUUAGUGCCUGUGGUGG